rnacentral:Y_RNA from 12 species
AGUUGGUCCGAGGAUUGUGGGUUAUUGUUAAGCUGAUUAACAUUGUCUCCCUCCCAUAUCCAUACUUGACUAGCUAUGCGCUUG